UACGUAGGGGGCUAGCGUUGUCCGGAUUUAUUGGGCGUAAAGAGCGUGUAGGCGGCCAGGUAGGUCUGCUGUGAAAACUCGAGGCUCAACCUCGAGACGUCGGCGGAAACCAUCUGGCUAGAGUCCGGAAGAGGAGAGUGGAAUUCCUGGUGUAGCGGUGAAAUGCGCAGAUAUCAGGAAGAACACCCGUGGCGAAGGCGGGUCUCUGGACAGUUCCUGACACUGAGGCACGAAGGCCAGGGGAGCAAACGGG
rnacentral:rRNA from 1 species